rnacentral:tRNA from 1 species
AAGAAUGUAGCUCAGUGGUAGAGCACUUGCUUGGCAUUUGUGAAGCCCUGGGUUCAAUCCUCAGCAUCAUUA